AAAAAUGAUUGCUGAUAAAGUACUGGGAAUAAACUAAGUGUUCCAUAGGUAAAGCCGGUUGACAUACCCUACUGGCCAAAGGUAACACAACGAACAUCAUCUCUACAAUAUGAAAAUGGAACUACAUUGACUAUAAUUAUAAUAAAUAAGACCUCAAGGCGUUACUCCCUCCAUUCCACUUUCUUAGGCAUAGAAAACCAAUCUCAGGGACGAACUACCAAGACCCGAGGAGAGAAAGACCGGUUGGAUAGAUAGUAGUAAUUCGAUCCAAAUUGUGUCAAAUCCUCGACUCCAACGCCUCGUUUGGCCUCAGAGAUGUGCACACUGCUCUCGGUCAGCCAUUCCUGCAUUCCAAUGAAAUUAACAGCAAGCAUUCAUAUAGUCUCUGUGGCUUGACUUGCUGCUGCAACAUAUUGGUGAAGGUAGCUAGGAUACAUUCUUUUGUAGUUGCUUUGUCUGCCUCAUAGCCUGAUAAUGAGCAGCAAGCAUACAUUUAUUUUAUGUUCAGCAUCAGAACAAAACAAUUGAUGGAAAAAAUACAACAAAUUUUGCUCUGUCAAUGUCGCCGAGAUUGUCUUGCACUGUAAACGUACUUGGCUAGGUCCAUGUGAUGUGCGCUCAGCUGUUGUAGCUGUUGGCUGUAGUUGUAGAUUGGCUGUUGUUGUAGUACAAUUUAGCUUAGCAUUUUGACUGUUUUGUGAUAUGAAUGUAAUCAUGAUUUUGGAAGCAAUACCAAAAAGAAGAAAAAAGGUGUCUACUGAUUUGGAGUGUCCAUAUCUAACCUGAAGGGUGUAAUCUUCAGUUCUGUUUCUACCAGGGACAGGAAAAUAUUUUCUGAAGUUCCCUUGCUUAGUAAUGUUGAAUGUUGUCUUAUGAUUUGGACUGUCAAAUUCAGUUCUCUAAACUGGAAAGCUCCAGGGGAGAAAUUCCUAUGCCAUUUAACACACACAAAAACAAACAGAAGGUCUGUACUCAUCAAUUGAAAUGAGGUUAGUAGAGGCAUUGUUGUAAAAUUUCAGCAAAGAAAGGAAGCAAGGCAUCAUGAUUAUCAGUCAAACAUGUGUAUGACUUGUCCAAAAACAAAAAACACAUAUACCUUCACAGUUGCGUGUGUGUGUGUCUGUGUACGGAAUAAUUUUCAGUAACAAAGGAAAAUAAGAAUAAUGUUCAGAUUAGACUGCACCAAGUAACACAUCACUUCGAAAUUGCUUGAACAAUUUUGUUUACCAACCAGCAUGCAAUGUUUAUAAUCUGUCCAUCGGAAGCAUGAAAUAAGAAAGUGACUUCAGUACAAUUUUCAGGAAAGAAGCAAGAUAAUUUAUUGCGCCUUGUGUAUCUUUAAGAAAAAUAAUUUGAGAGGGAUAGAGAGGCUACUUACAGAACGUCAGGGCACAUCAAAGCUAAAAAUCAUGGGGGACAGCUUGUUUCCUGUCAACCCAAGAUAUGGUAAAAUGAAGAUAUCCACAUGCAUAAGUUUUC
rnacentral:lncRNA from 1 species